CUCCAAAGUGUUGAGUUCAGUUCAGGGCAGCUUCCCUGUUCUGUUAAUUAAACUUUGGGACAUUGAAAUUGACUGAGGGGAAUGACUGAAUAGGGAAAUAUAUGAAUAAUAUACUUCUAGUCUACCCAG
rnacentral:snoRNA from 1 species